CGUCUCCUCCAUGUCUCACCUGAUGUGGAUUCAGCCCGCCAAUGAGCGGGCUUUUUUCU
rnacentral:ncRNA from 19 species